rnacentral:misc_RNA from 1 species
CUUGUGCAUCAUUUAUUGUUAACGCACCCACAAAACAACGAGGCGAAUACGCAUCCCCUCACAUCCCGCAUACACCCGAAGGUCCGUCUCUUAUCAUCACCACGGCCACCAUCACCAUCCCUUGCCACUUGUCCUCGGCUCCUUUUUGGGCACACGCAUAACGGCAGCACCGCCAUCGCCGCCUUUGUCUCUCCAUCACCCACGCGUGCAGGCUGUCCACUAGUCUCCCUCCCUCUGUGCGUGUGUGUGUGUGUGUGGAAGGGGUGUGUUGGGACGGUGCGUGUGUAACAGAAAAGAGAGUUGUAUUUUGUUCUUGUGUUUUCCCUCCUCUUCUGUGCUCGUUCGUGACGGCAGCGCCGCUCCGACACGUUUACGGUACGCUACACGGGGCACGUAAUACACACGCACUCACCUACACACAUCCAUACAUCUAUACAUAUAUAUAUAUACCCGUUGUAUCGGUGCAUACACCGUUGUCUAUCUGGAAGCGCCCACCCCAGCGGCCUUUCAACCAGCAGACACACAGACACACACUGGCACACGCACGCACUGGCACAACCACAGCCACACCACGAACACAUAAAAAAAAAUAACAAAAAAAAACGGAUUUUUAUUUCGUAUUUGUUCGUUUUUUUAUUCUUUAUUUUUUUUUCGGUGUGUGUGUCGCGUGUGUGUCUGUUGUUGCGGUUGUUGCGUUGCGCAAGCACCGAGAAGGGCGAAGCAGACACACUCCACCACGAGCACACAAUACAGAGCAAAGCAGGCAGGCAGGCAGGCAGACACACACACACGCGCACGCACACGCGUGCCUCUUCUGUCUGCCUCCCUCUACAUCCAAGCACCGCCAGAAAGCGCAAGCAGACAAGCGGCGCAGCCGCACCCCCAAGGCGCACGUACACACCUACUCACGCACACGCAGGAGAGCGCCGGGUGACGGGGCGGGACGGCCGGGGAAGUCGGCGGAGGAUCGCCGGCUUUGCAAGACGGAGUACACUUAUAACGCCGUUGAAGCAGCGAAAGAGGGAAGGACGAGAGAAGUCAGACAGAUUAUAAAGGGCGCUUCAAACAGAUCAAGACCGUGAAAGGAAAAGACGAGGCCAAAGGCAAGCAGGUUGCGCCUGAUUCCCCCCUCCUCCUCCUCCUCCUCCUCCCCUCUCGCUCGAACUUGCUGUGUAUCUCUGUCGCCCUCGGCUGGGGUCCAUCAGCUGUGCUUGUCCGUCUGUGCAUGCGCAGGUGUCUCGUUCCAUUCAGGGGGUGCCUGCAACGACGCGACGGACGUGUUUGCUGGUGUUACUUGGUUCAUUUUCUCAUUUUUCUGGUUCUGUUUUCGUUUUUUUUUGUUCGCGGCGGUGCACAUUAUCUUAGUAUUGUGGUGCAGGUGUGCCUGUGUCUAGUGGUCUUGCUGAGGCAUCGGAUGAAGACUAAUCCGCAUUGAAGGCCUUCCACUUCUCCUUCCUUGGAUCUCUUCAUCAAGCCUUCAUCUCUGGUCAUUUUCCCCUUCUCCCUCCCCCUUCCCCCUGUGUGUGUGUGUGUGUGUGUGGGGGGGUGUGGGCGUGUGUGGAUGUGGGUGUGCGCGUGGGUGUGCGUGUGGGUGUGUAUCUUCUUUUGUCGUUGUCGCUGUCAAGUGCACGUGGGUGCGCUGGUGUUCUGUCUGCGUGUGUUUAGGUGUGGGUGUGGGUGUGUCCGCGUGGUGGUGGUGGUGACGCUGUCGACUCUCGUGACGCUGAGUGCGCAUUCCAAUAUACACGCACACAUGUAUAGACGCGUAUUGGGACUCAGUUGUUUUCUUGUCUGUUAGGCACGCAGGGCUGAGCCUUGCCGCCCCGGCCCUCCUCUCACCUCUCCUCCCCUCCGUGUGUUCGCUAGUUUGGCCAUAGUUGUUGUUGGUUGUUGUCCCAUUUUCCGUAACACCCAAAGGGGUCCUCCGUCUUCCUCGCCUGUGUCGCCCGCACAACUAAUGAACUCUAGUAGGUCCUCGCCUCCGUCACCGCAGACGUCAGCGACAUCUUGGUCCACGUUGCCCUCGCCCGCAACGGCAGCAGGAGCGCCUUCGCCCGUAUCGGAGCCGCAUGUGGUCUACCCCGCGCCGACGGAUGCUACGGCAGCGCCGCGGGCGGUGCCCGUGUGCAGCCGCUUCGCGGCACUGAGGAGCAGCGUCCUCUCCCCUGCAUCGUCGACGCUGAACUUGUCAGCGAGCAACAAGCCCGCCAAGUCGGUGCCCGCUCUUGAGGUGGGCACUUCGCUAUUGGACCGACGGAAGCCUUCCCCGCCGUCACCACGCACGCCGAAGGCCGCCACAUUGACGACGGCAACGACGACCUCCGCGGCUGCAGCUGCCUGCGCUUCACAUUCGUCGAAAGCACAGCACACACGACGUCAUCCAUUGGCUGAUGCCGACAGCGUCCAAGGACGCGCCGGCGGCGGUGUUGGUGGUGCCAGUACGGCCUCCUCGCUGUCUGCGGCCUGUGCGCCGCUGUCCGCAUCCCUGACAGCCAUCGCAGCAUCGUCCGGCAAGCUAUAUCGACCACCGCACGCGCGUGAGGACUCGUCGAAGCAGCGUUGGAGCGCCGGUGAUGGUAGCGGCGCUGGCAACGCCGCGACCACAACGGAUGCGGGCACAACGGUGUCCGGUGCGCCCCCCACACCUUUAGACAGCGCAGCCGCCGUUGCAGGGGCAGCGGCAGGGCCGACUGCGUCGUCCUCGUCAUCGCCACCGCCGCUGCGUCCGAGCGUGAGUGCAGCGGUGUCGAAGUCUACGGACGCCUCGUGGUGGUUUCCGGUGAACAAGGCGAACUCUUUGUUGUCUGUCGCCCCGCAACGCGGCGGCAGCUCGAUAUCAGCUGCACCGUCAUCCACCGUAUCCAUGCCAGCGACUGUUGCUGCAGAAGCGUCAGGCGCGUCCCCUGUGGCGACCCUUCCACCGCCCGCCACGUGCGAGGACGACCAGCAUGGACGGGCGGGAAAGUCACCGGCGGUUCAUUCAUCUGUUACGGCAACGCCCAGAGAGCCUGGCGCCGCGGAGCGGCCAGAACCAACAGAACCGCUGCCGAAGCCCUCCCGCUCGGCGAAGCGCAAGCAAAAAGUGCGUGCUAUGGCAGCAGCAGCGGCCGCAGCAGCAGCAGCAGCUGAGGCUGAGGCUGAGGCUGAGGCUGAGGCUGAGGCGAACCGACAGCCUGACACCGAGGUGGAGGUCGAAGUGGCGGCGGAGCGCCGUGAAGUCGUGGUCGCACACCCGAAAGGCACCUCGAUGGCUGCAACCAGUGACAGGGCGUCAGCCAGAAUUGGUUUAGGUGCACACUCAUCGCCGGCGCGCACGGGGUCGGCCCCAACGAAAGCAGCAGCGGCGCCGAACACGAGUAGUGUGAGUCGCCGUCCUGGCUGGCACCCCUCGUUCGCGACGUCUGCGGCGGUCUCAGCAACUGUGGAGGGCGAGGGUGCAGUCGGCGUGGCCGGUGACGCAGAGGUAGUUGGCAGCAGUGGGAACGGUGGGCCGCAGAUGAUGGCGAACGGCCUUAGUAGUGUGAUGCCGGUUUCCUUUGCAGGCGCGCUGCCGUCGAAGAGCUACGCGGGGCAGACGAGCACGAUGCCUGGCAUGAGCGACACUGCUGUGCAGCUGCUCCCAACUGAGAUGGCGACGGCCGGCGGCGUUGGUGGUGGUGGCAACGCCGGUUACAUGAAUGGCUAUGGAUACCAGCUACAGCAGCUGCUGCGCCAUCCGCAUCAGUCGCCUACCCAGCAGUACUACGCCGCCUCUCUGCUUUCACAGCAGCAGCUGCAGAUGGCAGCGUGUGGCUACUACAGCCGCUCCCACAUGGCCUCUCCACAACAGCAGCAACAGCAGCAGCACCGUUCCCAUGCGCGGCCCUCCACAUCCGGGGUAGAUCGCAGCAGCGCGGCCGCGACCACCAGCCCCGACAGCAGCUGCGCCAGCGCCAACGCUCUGCUGGCUGCCGGCGCAGCAAACACGUCUGCGGCGGGAGCUGCGGCAACCAUGUUCGACCCCGCCAAUACAGUCAUGAGCGCGAGCGGUGGCGGCGCAGCGCCUCCUCCUGCUCCGCACCGUGUACCCGGCCUUCACCGAGGCCGUGGAGCAGCGGCAGCGGCUAGUCAGAGUACAGCUGGGCAGCUUGCGCCGUCAGCGUCCCCGCCUCCCGCGCCGGCAGCGACAGGGUGUGCGCCCCCGUCCGCGUUGUUGCCGCUGCACAGUGGCCACCUGCCGAGCAUCCGCGUCGGUGUUUCGACAACGAUGAACGCUGACUCAUCCGCAUCGCCCUCGAUGACGGCAACUGGCGGCACCAGUAACUUCGCGGCACCCCGCGUAGACACGCUAAGCAGCAACGCCACGGCAAUGGGUGCGGGGUGCACCGGCGACACAAUGCUGAGCAUGGCGUCUGGCAUGUCGCAGCACCACCACUACCACCACCACACACCACCGCUGGCACAUCCCUCAUCCGUCUCUGGGCAGUUCUCGCAGCGCCCGCAUCAACAUCAUCACCAGACCAUGUCGCUCGGAAGCCUGAGCCUCGACGGCGGCGGCGGUGGCCAAGUGAACACGACCCAUCACGAAGACAUGGAAUCGCAGCCCUCCAUGUCCCCUGGGGCAGCGCAGGAGCACAUCUCCGCCACCACCUCGCCAAACAUGCCGUCCCGAUCGCAGGGUGGGCCCUCUGCCGCCGUGAACUGGGGAAGCAUGGGUGGCUCCAACCACGGCCGCUCGGCUAACGCGAAGCACAAGGGCGCCCCCAGUGACUGCGCUCACAGUCGUGGGAGCAACAGCCACAGCGGUAGCACUGUUGCCGGCUUCGACAACAGCCGUCGCAGCGGCAGCCGACAGAGUCACACGCAACAGCAGGCGAUGAUGAUGAACCAACCAGGCAACUACAUGAGCUCUAUGUACGGAAGUCUGCCGAAUCCAGACCAGCAAGCAACCGGCCACAUCGGCAGCAGUGGUGGUGGGAUGAUGCCUAUGCACUACAACGCACUCAACGUUGGCGGUGGUGGUGCGGGUCGGCAGCCCAUAUUCCACCAUCAACAACCACAGCAGCAGCAGCAGCAGCACACGAUGGCGAAACCGCCGCCGAUCCCGUACUACGACUUCAUCACGGUGCUGCCGACGUUUGUGGCGACGUGCCUGACGCUGAAGCCGGAGGACGAGGCAAACCGCGAGCAGCUCUGCUGGAUUAUCGAGGCCGUGCUGCGCAAGCACCUAAACCAAAAUGCAGAGAUCCGUGUGCACGGCUCCAUCACGACCGGUCUGGCACUUCCGUCGAGUGACGUGGACCUCCUUGCUGUCGGGUACCAGCCGAUCGCGCCGCUCGAGGCGCUGCAGCGGCUGUCGAAGGCCCUCUUGGAGUUGGACGAAGACAGCAAGAACGACGCUCUUCGCUUGCAAGAGCUCAUCGAGGCCGAAGCGCAGCACCGCCGCCGGCAGCUGAUGGAGGAAGCAAAGAAGCGGGCAAAGCAGGUGGCGCUGGCGGCAGCGACUGGAGCAGGAGUUGCAGUAGCCCCCGACGAAGGCCGUCACUGGGCCAGAGAGAGCCGCUGCAGUGCUAGCGAAGUCUGUGAGGCGGCCAGCUUGCGGGACUCCGACAGCGACGCCGAUGACGAUGACAUCGGCAGACGGUCUGAGGAGAAUGCCAGCGAAGGUGAAGGGACGAGCGGCCUCUCGCCGAAGCGUGUAGCGCGCGCUGGCAGUAUCGUGAAGAGCCUCCUCCUUAGCUCCACCGAGGCCGCGGAGGAAAUGCCGGUAAUCGGCGAGAUGGAUGAGGCGGCGCGUGCCGCACCGAAUCGCCGCGUGUCUAGCCAUUCACGGCGCUCUCCCUGUGUGCCUCAAGACGGCACGGCGACAACGGCGCCUCAGCGAAGCGUCAGCGCCUCGUCGCUGUCGACAGAGUCGAGCACGACGUGCUUCUCCGCGACCGCCUUCCCCCUGGACACCCGUAAAGUAUUUCUGACCUCGAGCGCCACGGUUGGCGACGAUGGCGAGUUUGUUCGCCUUGCCUCCGGCUCUGGCACCGUCCCGGGCGCGGGUGCCACGUCGACCUGCGCUAAGAGUGCUGUGGGUCACGCGGACAGUGUGAGCGCGAGUCGCCUGCACGACCCCGACGUGGCGACGGCGGACACGGAGGUCUACGGCACCGUUGGCGACGUGGAGCAGGCCGAGGAGGUGUUUCGCGGUCAGAUUGAAAAGGACUACAACUUCAGCACCUCCGUAGACCUGUCGGCGCUCUUCGCGCCAUCGAUGGGUGGUGGUAUGCCGCCUGUCGCGCCACCGGUAGCAGCAGCAAGCGGUCUAAGUAUCGGAGGUGCCAGCAGUAGCAGCAGCGGUCUCGCGUUCCAAACAACCACGACGCGGCUGCAUGACUCUGCCUCGUUGUCGUCCCCGCGCGAGUCUGCCGCGGCGAGUGGAAGUGCCGACCUAAAAGGCAGCGUACGUUCCCUGCCGCCCGCCAUGGCGUCGGGUCUGCAUGUCGACGAGGACAACAUUGCAGCACAUGCGCAGCCGCUGCCGAGAAGCAAGGCAGCACCAGCCGACGCAGAUAAGUUGGCCAAUGAAGCGGAGCUCCGGAGCAGCCAGGCGAGGCUUGCAGACGGCGGCGCCGCGGAGCCGGAAGGCCGUACUGUCAGUGGCGGCGGCGAUGCUACGGCAGCCGAGGCGGAAGCGGCACACGCGGGUACAGAAACCGUGGCCGCCGAUGAGGCCGCGGCAGCUCAGUCGUCGUCGGUGUCGCCCACAGCUGCAGCAUCCGGAGAGAGGGCCGCCACGGUGCAGACCGCGGCAGCUCCGCCGGCGUCCCAGGACGCAGUGACGCGGAGCCCGAUCGUUCUCGGUGCUACGGAUGGCCGUGGCCGUGGCGCGGGCCAUCUCACCUACGUCCCUGUUCAUGAAGGCCCGCUGUUCUUUGUGCAGUCCAUCACGGCGACUCGUGUGCCGGUCAUCAAGCUGACAGACAAGGCAACCGGCACCAAGGUGGACAUCACCUUCGCCGGCGGCGAGCACUGGCGGUCGAUGCAGCUUACACGAUCGCUGCUGGAGGUGUUUCCGCAUGCCCGCACGCUCAUUCUGUUCCUCAAGUACUGCGUUCGCAGCCUCGGUGCCGGCGAGAGUGAGCCUGGCGGGGUGACGUCUUUCGCCAUCUACCUCAUGGUACUCCACUUCUACAAUGAAUGCCGCCAACGCAUUCUCCUUCUCCUGCGUGAGCGGAACGCCGCGUCGUCGUCAGCGCAGGCACAAAGCCGUCAAGCAGGAGCGGAUACCGGAGAGCACCAGCAGCCGCAGAAGGAUCGCGCAGCGGAGGAAGCCCUGCGCCGCGGCGGCGCCGCGGACAACAGUGCUACCUCUCCGACGGCGGGCCCCGCUCCCCUUACUCUUGGGCUGCUGGAGUACAUGCUGGGCGAGUAUCUUGCACGAGUGGAGCAGCGUCACGCGCAAUUGGUAGAGGAGACGGGGGCACGGCGAAGUGUGUCGCUCGACGCAGCAGGCUCUGACGAUGUUGCCGAGCUCUACAGCAGCAGCGGGAACAUCCAGAAGGCGGCACCGGCUCUUGGGCGAGCGUCGUCCUCCACGGCGGUGGCAACUGGAGCGUGCGCGACCAUCAAGGCGGCCUACGCCAGCGACGACAAGGAGCGCCUGCGUGCGAUUCGCCAAACGAUACUGGGCUUUGUCGGCGACCCGGCAGCCGCGACAACAGCGGCAGGCGCGUCCGUGACAGCGGCGGUGGCGCUGGCGCUGGCGCCACAGACGACGACUGGCGCGACCCCUGAAAAGGAAGGUGGAGCAGGGCGCACGCAACAGACGCGACCCACCUCUUCAGACGCUGCUGAGAGUGCCUCCGGCGGCGGAGCGGCAGCGGGUGCGAGCAGCAGCACCAGCACCAGCACCCCGUCACCGUUGCGCGAGCAUCAGCCUCCUAACCUCACCGGGACUGCAGGCCUCGGCGGCACCAUCACCACCGCCACCACCACACCUAGUGCCGGCGAGGAACUAGCGGCUGUGGUGGACGCUGCGCCUGGCCGCCUCGCGCCACCGCCGCACCACUACCUACUCAAGACGGUAGAACCUCAGCCGCACGAACGCGUGGUGGGCGAGGGGUCGCACGUUGAUACCCCUGGCGCCUACGAAGUAGCAGGGCGUGACGAGAAGGUGGCGGAAGACACGAGCGCUGAGCAUUCAACAGCGGCUAUGGCCACACCAGAGGCUCUCCACCAGGAGACGCGCGCCGACGCGGCGGCAGCCGCGGUAGCGGAGGGUACUGAGACGCCGGAGGAACUAGUCUCCGCCGCCGCUGGCAGCGCAGCGAAUGUAGAUCCUGUGAAAGCCGGCCGAGGCUCUGCUCAGUCAGCAUCGCUGCCAGCGGAGACAGAGACGGCCGGCGCAGCGGGCGCCCAUGCAAGUCGAGUAGCAGAGGCAGCAGCAGCAGCAGCAGCAGCAGCCUCGACGUCGAAGAGGGCCUCUGAGCAGCACAGCGACGCCGACAGCGAAGACAGCGCCUUCGACGCGUUCGCCGCGGACUUCCUGCGCCGGCAGGCAGAGGUGUCGGACUUGUUCCUUGACUUCUGCCACUACUACGGCUGCGCCUUCGAUUACGAGACCAGCGGCAUCCGCUUCACCAUUGACGGCCGCUCCGAGGUGGUGGCAAAGCCGUUCCUCUGCUCCCGCCGCGGUCAGCACUUCCACAUGACAUCGCCUUUCGACCCUGAGUACGACUUGACAGCGCGCAUGACACACAUGCGCGACUUUCAGUGGCUGUGCUGGUGGUUUGCCGAGUGGGGGGCGGCGCGGCAGUCGCCGCAGUACUACGGCAGCUGCAGUCUUCAGUACGUCCUUCAGUGUCUGUCACCCAUGUCGGCAGACGCGGACUGCCAGGCAGUGCAUCAGGCGCUCAUGAAGCAAGCCGUCGCCGCCGCGCGACGUGCCGAAAGCACCGCCGCAGCGACGCUCACGCAACAUUACAGCAACGGCGGCGCCGCGGGCGAGGGGGGCCACCCUCACCACAGCAUGAGCGCCCCCAUGCUUGCCUUUCAAGAGAGUACGGGGAGAAGCCAUCACAUGAUGCUCAUGCAGCAGCAGCAGCAGCAGCAGUCUGCGCCCAGGCAGCCGCACACGAUGAUGAUGUCGAUGGACGGCAACACAAAGUUGUAUGGCGCGCAGCAGCAGCAACCGCAGAGCAUGAGAAGCAGCACGACAACGAUGAUGCCGAUGACCCUUCGCGCGCAUCCGCAGCAGCCACAGCAGCAUGCGGGUGGUGUGCCGGUGCCACCGAUGAACGUGUACAAUGGCCCUAGCGUCGAACAGCAGCGCUGCGGUGGCGCGGGGGUGGCGCAACACUCCGUUGCUGCGCCGUUUCCUCACUUGCAGAGCACGAUGAUGUCGCCUGGCUCGCCAGUGCACGCUUACCAGCAGCAGCAGCAGCAGGCAAGCCCCAGUGAAGCGAGUGGCAUGGACACAGACACGCACGUGCGCGGGGGUGGCCUCGGUGAACAUGACCACCGCAGCGCCCCUCAUUUAAAAUAUGGCGGCAGUAUCAGCAUCGCCUCCACCGCAGCGAAGAAGGGGUCCGCGACGGCACACGAAACGGCGGCCAUACGCGCUGCCAGCAGUGGCAGUAGAAGCCGUCCUGCCAGCGAAUGCGGCGCCACUGCGGCGGCCGCAGUAUCAGCAAGGACUCGUGCGCGCCGGCGUCCGCCACUGCAGCUGCCGUAUGUGGACUCACGGGAGGAGGCCUUUGAAGGGUCCUCCAGUCACGCCGCCAUGACGCCCACGGCGGCGGGGAUGAUGGCGGUGCACAGCUAUCCUACUGAGAACAACGACGACGUCGACGGCGGCAACAGUCCUCGUGGCCGCGUCGAUGUCAUGCUCACGCCUGUGAAGGGCGACGAAGAUGAGGAGGACGAAGCCGGCGGGCGCUAUGGUGACCGCGGUUACGGCAGCGAGAGCGUCGUUGACUACACCGACUGUCUCGACCAGUGUGGCGGCCGUGGGGAUGCGAACGCAGUCAUGCCGCAGCACUACCCGCAACAGCUGGCGCCGCAUGACGCGCAGGCCACCGCAGAAGGCAAUGCUGGCGUUGGUGAGCACGGCGCAGGUGGCCUGUGCAACGGCUACUCGCCGAACAUGGCAUACGCAGGCAACCAGGGCUACGCUGCCUCGCAACAGCAGCAGGUAUCCUACGGCAGUCCGCACCCGAUGAACCGAGCUGCGGGCGUGUACGUCGCCCCGCAGCAGCAGCAGCAGUUCCGACAGCAGCAAGAACACGCAGCGGCCGCCGCCGCCUUUUACUAUCAAGCAUUUGCUCAGCAGCAGCAACGGCAGCAGCAGCAGGUGCCAUACCCUCCGUCGCCACAGCUGAAGCAACCGCAGCCGAUCAUCAGUAGCACCAGCAGUGGGUUUGUGGCUACCGCCGGCACCUCGUCGUCCUCGAGCUACCCCUUCCCAGCCCUGUACUACGACCUGCAGCAGCACCUCUGGCAACAGCAGCAGCAGUAUCACACGACGCGGAACAGUAGCGGCUUUGUCGGUGUCGCCCCCACCGCCGCCGCCGCCGAUCAAGACGGAGGUAGCAGUCACCGAAGCGACGGCACUUCCAGCACCACCGCAACGAGUGCCAGCGCGCAGCAGCAGCAGCAACAGCAGGUGUUCCCGUACACGCCGUACGUGGGAUAUCCAAGCGUUGCGUUUGGUGUAGGCGGUACACACAAUACCGACGCGACGAGGACUGCUGCCGGUGGUGGUGAGAUGCCCCAGCAGCACCAGCAGCCGGACAUGGUGGCGAUGCCGUCUAUGAUGACCUAUCAGAGCGCCGCCGCCGUAGCGACAGGGUCGCCGGUGAACACCAGCAGUGAUGAUGCCGGUGUCAGUGCAAGUGAGCCGCCGCCGAAGCAGCAGCAGCAACAGUCUGCCCAUGGCGGUUAUCAGCAUCCUGCUUCACAUCAUCGCUCCGGUGGUGGUGAUGGCAGGCGUGCCGCCUCUCAGUAGCGUCAUCCGCGUCAGCGCGGACAGCGGCAUGGCUUACUGCUCCUCCGCCAGCAACGACAGCAAGCGAUCACCUUCAAAUGCGGUGCUGCUGAAGGAGUCGCGGAGGGGUGCCAGAGACGGCAGCGGCGCAGGAGUGUGGGGGCUGAAGCUGGUGGAGUUGCUGGCGAGGCCGGCCAAGUGUGGCGCGCACAUAGAGAUAAUGCUGCAGCCGCGCCGUCGCGCAGCACUUGCGGAUAGACUGUGCGCAGGUGCGAGUAGGUGCGUUGCGUAAGAGCGGCACAUGAAGACAGGUGCGGCACAGACGCCAGCGAAGCACGUCGUCGCUCGCAGCGGGUACACCGCGACACGUCAAGAUAAGUAAGAGUGUGAAAGAAUGCGCUUAAGAGUUGAGCAUAGAGAAGUCAAGCAAGGAAAGACACCGCACGCAUGAUGUGUGCAGAUGUGAUGCCCGCGUGCAUUUGAAGGCGGACAAGCGUUGUCGAUCGCUGGCCCUCGCUGCGCGUCUGUGCGCCACCUCAAUCCCUGGAGUGCGAUGGCAUACACGGGCAUCGGCUCCCUUCUCCUCUCCCUGUCCUCCAUGCGAUGGGAGCUCGUCAAGCACGUCAUGCUCAGCGACGUGGGUGCUCCUGUGUGCGCUCUUCCAGCUUCUCCUCGCUCGUGUCAACUCUUCCCCUUAUCCCUCGAUCUCUGUACCCCUCCGGGUCUCUCUGCCGUGCUUCACCGCAUGCGACCCCUCUCCCCCCCCUUCACACGCGCACACCGCUUUUCUCCAACUCCCCACAG